GCUUUCAACAUCCCCGUUCCGGUAAAGGCGUUGUCAGUUGCGGGAAACCGCAAAUGGCAGGCGCGUCCGGAGCUGAAAGC
rnacentral:sRNA from 12 species